AUGCCAUGGUGUGGGCAUUGUAUUUGCAAAGUCUUGUAUCUCUGACAUGCCUCAUAGAGAGACUCCAAUAAUGUUGUUGAAAACUAGAUAUCUCAUUUCUUAACUU
rfam:Beta vulgaris subsp. vulgaris Bvchr6.sca026.con0175.1, whole genome shotgun sequence.